rnacentral:rRNA from 1 species
AGGAGUCGUCUUCGUAUGCGAGUGUUUAGGCGUUAAACCUAUACGCGUAAUAAAAGUAAACGCGGGUAGGAGCCCCCCUAGCGGGGGCGUACUACCGACUAAUCCUAAUAUUCUCGGAUAGAUUUAAGUAGGAGUAUACGGGGCUAGACCCGAAAGAAAGUAAACUAUGCCUAUGUAGGGUAAAGCUAGAGGAAACUCUAGUAGAGGCUCGUAGCGGUUCUAACGUAUAAAUCGAUCGUUAAACAUAGGCAUAGGGGCGAAAGACUAAUCGAACCUUCUAGUAGCUAGUUCCCGCUAAAGUUUCCCUUAGGAUAGUAGUGUCGGCCCUUAGUUUUAUAAGGUAAAGCGAAUAAUUAAGGACCUAGGGGCGCUCUUUAGCCUUUAUCUAUUCUUAAACUUUAAAUAUAUAAGAAGCCCUUAUUACUUAGCUAAACGUAGGUAUUCGAAUGUAUCGACACUAGUAGGCUAUUUUUAGUAAGUAGAACUAGCGAUACGGGAUAAACUAAACGCGAGGUUAAGGUACUAGAGUAGACGCUUAUUAGACACUAUAAAAGGCGUUAGUAUAUCUUAAUAGUAGGACGGUAGCUAUAGAAGUCGGAACCUACUAAGGACUAUAUAAUAACUUAUCUACCGAAUAUACUAGCCCUAAAAAUAGAUAGCGCUUAAGCGUCCUACCUAUACCUCGCCCUCGGGGUUAGAACGAGGCCCUAAAGAGUAGGCGGGCGUAGGGGUUAGUAACGAAGCCUAGGGCGCGAGCCUAGGUCGAAUAGCCCCUAGUAUAGAUCUUAGUAGUAGUAGUAAAUACUUUAAUAGGAACUUAAAGGGCUAAAGUAGGGAAAGGUUCCGCGCGAAUAGCGGUUAGGCGUAGGUUAGUUAAUCCUAAGCUAUAGGGAAGUUCCGUUUUAAGGGCGUACUUAGGCGCGCCGCGUAGCGAAAGGGGAGCUAGUUAAGAUCCUAGCGCCUAGAUAUAGGUUUUACGCGGUAACGUAACUAAACGUAGAGACGGCGGCGGGGGCCCUAGGUAGAGUUCUCUUUUCUUCUUAACGGCCUAUUACCCUAAAAUCGGUUUAUCUAGAGCUAGGGCCCGACGGCUAGAAGAGCCCGGUACCUCUACUAGGUCUAGUACGCCCCUGACGCCCCCUAAAAAUCCGCGGGAGGGAAUAAUUCUUACGCUAGCUCGUACUCAUAACCGUAGUAGGUCUCUAAGGUAAAUAGCCUCUAGUUAAUAGAAUAAUGUAGAUAAGGGAAGUCGGUAAAAUAGAUCCGUAACUUCGGGAUAAGGAUUAGCUCUAAGGGUCGGGUACGUUAGGCCUUAGGCGGACGCCCUAGGAGUAGGCGGCUACUAGCUAGGAGACUAGCCGGCGGCGGCUAGCAUCCGGGUACCUACGCCCCUAGUAGGCUCCGGCCGUCUAGCGUACGGUUAACGACCGACUUAGAACUAGUACGGGUAGGGGGAAUCUAACUAUCUAAUUAAAACAUAGUAUUACGAUAGCUAGAAAGUAGUGUUAACGUAAUGUAAUUUCUACUUAGUACUCUAAAUAUUAAAGUAAAGUAAUUUAACUAAGCGCGGGUAAACGGCGGGAGUAACUAUAACUCUCUUAAGGUAGCUAAAUGCCUUGUUAUCUAAUUAGUAACGCGUAUAAAUAGAUUAACGAGAUUCCUACUAUCCCUAUCUACUAUCUAGCGAAACUAUAGCUAAGGGAACGGGCUUAGCGGAAUUAGCGGGGAAAGAAGACCCUAUUAAGCUUAACUCUAGUUUAACAUUAUAAAAAGACAUAGGAGGUGUAGAAUAGGUAGGAGCUCUAGCGCUAGUAAAAUACUACUACUCUUAUUGUUUUUUUACUUAUUUAGUAGAGUAGGGCUAGGCUUACGCCUAACUUCUAGUCUUAAGGUCCUCCGUAGGCCGACCUAGGCUAAAGACAUUAUUAGGUAGGGAGUUUAGCUAGGGCGGUAUAUCUAUUAAACUAUAACGUAGGUGUCCUAAGGGGGGCUUAUAGAGAAUAGAAAUCUCUAGUAGAAUAAAAGGGUAAAAGUCCCCUUAAUUUUAAUUUUUAGUAUAAAUAUAAACUAUAAAAGUGUAGCCUAUCGAUCCUUUAGUCCCUCGGCGUUUAAGGCUAGAGGUACUAGAAAAGUUACUAUAGGGAUAAGCUACGUCCUAUCCUAGGUCCCGGUUCGUCGCUAGGGCCUAGUCGCCGCCGGCCUAUAUAGUACUUAGCUAGCGCGCGGCGACAUAACCUAGAUACGGGGAACUCUCGCUAGGCCUACGGUACUAAGCGUAGGCGGUAACGCCCCUACGUUCCGAUAAUAAGGGUACGGUAAUAACCCGUAGGAUAGAGAUAAUCCGUAGCCGAGCUAGCUACCGCCCCCCCCUAGGGGGGCGGGUGCUAGCUAGUUUAACGCUCGGUAAGGUGUAGGUCCCCCCUCCUAGGGGGGGCUUAAGGUACGGGCUACGCCCGCCCGAGAGGGCGACGCCGCGUACGGGUAGUACCCGCCCCGAAACGGCGUAUACGGACGCUAUUCGUCCGCAUAGUAUAACGGAACUAGCUUAUAGCGGCUAAGCGUUUAUAGCGACGUCGCUUUUUAAUCCUUCGAUGUCGGCUCUUCCUAUUAUACUAAAGUAGAAUUCGGUAAGCGUUAGAUUAUUUACCUACUAAAGG